rnacentral:rRNA from 1 species
CACGUAGGGCGCAAGCGUUGUCCGGAAUUAUUGGGCGUAAAGAGCUCGUAGGUGGUUUGUUACGUCUGCUGUGAAAUCCUAGGGCUUAACCCUGGGCUUGCAGUGGAUACGGGCAGACUAGAGGUAGGUAGGGGAGAAUGGAAUUCCUGGUGUAGCGGUGAAAUGCGCAGAUAUCAGGAGGAACACCGAUAGCGAAGGCAGCUCGCUGGGACGGUACUGACGCUGAGGCGCGGAAAGCAUGGGGAGCGAACAGG